AUUGAACGCUGGCGGCAUGCUUUACACAUGCAAGUCGAACGGCAGCGCGGGCUUCGGCCUGGCGGCGAGUGGCGAACGGGUGAGUAAUGCAUCGGAACGUGCCCAGUAGUGGGGGAUAGCCCGGAGAAAGCCGGAUUAAUACCGCAUACGACCUGAGGGUGAAAGCGGGGGACCGAAAGGCCUCGCGCUAUUGGAGCGGCCGAUGUCGGAUUAGCUAGUUGGUGGGGUAAAGGCUUACCAAGGCGACGAUCCGUAGCUGGUCUGAGAGGACGACCAGCCACAGUGGGACUGAGACACGGCCCAGACUCCUACGGGAGGCAGCAGUGGGGAAUUUUGGACAAUGGGGGCAACCCUGAUCCAGCCAUGCCGCGUGCGGGAAGAAGGCCUUCGGGUUGUAAACCGCUUUUGUUCGGGAAGAAAUCCUCUGGGCUAAUACCCCGGGGGGAUGACGGUACCGGAAGAAUAAGCACCGGCUAACUACGUG
rnacentral:rRNA from 1 species